UGAGGAAUCUUGCGCAAUGGGGGAAACCCUGACGCAGCAACGCCGCGUGAGUGAGGAAGGUCUUCGGAUCGUAAAGCUCUGUCAGUUGGAAAGAAAUGUCUGAGAGUCAAUCCCUUUCAGGCUUGACGGUACCAACAGAGGAAGCACCGGCUACCUUCGUGCCAGCAGCCGCGGUAAUACGGGGGGUGCAAGCGUUGUUCGGAAUCAUUGGGCGUAAAGAGCGUGUAGGCUGCCGGAAAGGUCAGAUGUUAAAGUCCAGAGCUUAAACCCGGAAGCGCACUUGAGACUGAUCCGCGAGUGUAGGGGGGAGGGAUGUGGAAUAACCAGUGUAGAAGUGAAACUUGUAGAUAUCAGGAGGAACGUCAGUUGCGAAGGCGACUUCCUGGCGCUAUACUGACGCUGAGACGCGAGAGCGUGGGUAGCAAA
rnacentral:rRNA from 1 species